rnacentral:rRNA from 1 species
UCCCAGACUCCUACGGGAGGCAGCAGUGAGGAAUAUUGGUCAAUGGGCGGAAGCCUGAACCAGCCAAGUCGCGUGAGGGAAGAAGGCCCUGCGGGUCGCAGACCUCUUUGGACGGGGAGCAAGGCCGCCGACGUGUCGGCGGAAGGAGAGUACCCGUAGAACAAGCAUCGGCUAACUCCGUGCCAGCAGCCGCGGUAAUACGGAGGGUGCAAGCGUUGUCCGGAAUCAUUGGGCGUAAAGAGUUCGUAGGCGGUAUGUUAAGUCUGGUGUUAAAUGCAGAGGCUCAACUUCUGUUCGGCACUGGAUACUGGCAAACUAGAAUGCGAUAGAGGUAAAGGGAAUUCCUGGUGUAGCGGUGAAAUGCUUAGAUAUCAGGAGGAACAUCGGUGGCGUAAGCGCUUUACUGGGCCGUAAUUGACGCUGAGGAACGAAAGCCAGGGUAGCAAAUGGGAUUAGAUACCCGGGUAUU